GUGGAAUGAGAAAUGGCAGGUAAAG
rnacentral:piRNA from 1 species